UACGUAGGUGGCAAGCGUUGUCCGGAUUUACUGGGCGUAAAGAGCGCGCAGGCGGUCGUUCAAGUCGCGUGUGAAAGCCCCCGGCUCAACUGGGGAGGGUCACGCGAUACUGAUCGACUCGAAGGCAGGAGAGGGAAGUGGAAUUCCCGGUGUAGUGGUGAAAUGCGUAGAUAUCGAGAGGAACACCUGCGGCGAAGGCGGGUUGCUGGGCCGACACUGACGCUGAUGCGCGAAAGCCAGGGGAGCGAACGGG
rnacentral:rRNA from 1 species